GUAGUCAUAUGCUUGUCUCAAAGAUUAAGCCAUGCAUGUCUAAGUAUAAGCAAUUAUACAGCGAAACUGCGAAUGGCUCAUUAUAUAAGUUAUCGUUUAUUUGAUAGUACCUUACUACUUGGAUAACCGUGGUAAUUCUAGAGCUAAUACAUGCUAAAAAUCCCGACUUCGGAAGGGAUGUAUUUAUUAGAUUAAAAACCAAUGCCCUCUGGGCUCUCUGGUGAUUCAUGAUAACUUCUCGAAUCGCAUGGCCUUGCGCCGGCGAUGGUUCAUUCAAAUUUCUUCCCUAUCAACUUUCGAUGUUUGGGUAGUGGCCAAACAUGGUUGCAACGGGUAACGGAGGGUUAGGGCUCGACCCCGGAGAAGGAGCCUGAGAAACGGCUACUACAUCCAAGGAAGGCAGCAGGCGCGCAAAUUACCCAAUCCCGACACGGGGAGGUAGUGACAAUAAAUACUGAUACAGGGCUCUUUUGGGUCUUGUAAUUGGAAUGAGUACAAUUUAAAUCCCUUAACGAGGAACAAUUGGAGGGCAAGUCUGGUGCCAGCAGCCGCGGUAAUUCCAGCUCCAAUAGCGUAUAUUAAAGUUGUUGUGGUUAAAAAGCUCGUAGUUGAACCUUGGGCCUGGCUGGCCGGUCCGCCUCACCGCGUGUACUGGUCCGGCCGGGCCUUUCCCUCUGUGGAACCCCAUGCCCUUCACUGGGUGUGGCGGGGAAACAGGACUUUUACUUUGAAAAAAUUAGAGUGCUCCAGGCAGGCCUAUGCUCGAAUACAUUAGCAUGGAAUAAUGAAAUAGGACGUGCGGUUCUAUUUUGUUGGUUUCUAGGACCGCCGUAAUGAUUAAUAGGGACAGUCGGGGGCAUCAGUAUUCAAUUGUCAGAGGUGAAAUUCUUGGAUUUAUUGAAGACUAACUACUGCGAAAGCAUUUGCCAAGGAUGUUUUCAUUAAUCAGGAACGAAAGUUAGGGGAUCGAAGACGAUCAGAUACCGUCGUAGUCUUAACCAUAAACUAUGCCGACUAGGGAUCGGACGAUGUUAUUUUUUGACUCGUUCGGCACCUUACGAGAAAUCAAAGUGCUUGGGCUCCAGGGGGAGUAUGGUCGCAAGGCUGAAACUUAAAGAAAUUGACGGAAGGGCACCACCAGGGGUGGAGCCUGCGGCUUAAUUUGACUCAACACGGGGAAACUCACCAGGUCCAGACACAAUGAGGAUUGACAGAUUGAGAGCUCUUUCUUGAUUUUGUGGGUGGUGGUGCAUGGCCGUUCUUAGUUGGUGGAGUGAUUUGUCUGCUUAAUUGCGAUAACGAACGAGACCUUAACCUGCUAAAUAGCCCGUAUUGCUUUGGCAGUACGCUGGCUUCUUAGAGGGACUAUCGGCYCAAGCCGAUGGAAGUUUGAGGCAAUAACAGGUCUGUGAUGCCCCUAGAUGUUCUGGGCCGCACGCGCGCUACACUGACGGAGCCAGCGAGUACUCCCUUGGCCGGAAGGCCCGGGUAAUCUUGUUAAACUCCGUCGUGCUGGGGAUAGAGCAUUGCAGUGAUUGCUCUUCAACGAGGAAUCCCUA
rnacentral:rRNA from 1 species